rnacentral:rRNA from 1 species
AUACCGGAGAAUGUUAUCACGGGAGACACACGGCGGGUGCUAACGUCCGUCGUGAAGAGGGAAACAACCCAGACCGCCAGCUAAGGUCCCAAAGUCAUGGUUAAGUGGGAAACGAUGUGGGAAGGCCCAGACAGCCAGGAUGUUGGCUUAGAAGCAGCCAUCAUUUAAAGAAAGCGUAAUAGCUCACUGGUCGAGUCGGCCUGCGCGGAAGAUGUAACGGGGCUAAACCAUGCACCGAAGCUGCGGCAGCGACGCUUAUGCGUUGUUGGGUAGGGGAGCGUUCUGUAAGCCUGUGAAGGUGUGCUGUGAGGCAUGCUGGAGGUAUCAGAAGUGCGAAUGCUGACAUAAGUAACGAUAAAGCGGGUGAAAAGCCCGCUCGCCGGAAGACCAAGGGUUCCUGUCCAACGUUAAUCGGGGCAGGGUGAGUCGACCCCUAAGGCGAGGCCGAAAGGCGUAGUCGAUGGGAAACAGGUUAAUAUUCCUGUACUUGGUGUUACUGCGAAGGGGGGACGGAGAAGGCUAUGUUGGCCGGGCGACGGUUGUCCCGGUUUAAGCGUGUAGGCUGGUUUUCCAGGCAAAUCCGGAAAAUCAAGGCUGAGGCGUGAUGACGAGGCACUACGGUGCUGAAGCAACAAAUGCCCUGCUUCCAGGAAAAGCCUCUAAGCAUCAGGUAACAUCAAAUCGUACCCCAAACCGACACAGGUGGUCAGGUAGAGAAUACCAAGGCGCUUGAGAGAACUCGGGUGAAGGAACUAGGCAAAAUGGUGCCGUAACUUCGGGAGAAGGCACGCUGAUAUGUAGGUGAAGUCCCUCGCGGAUGGAGCUGAAAUCAGUCGAAGAUACCAGCUGGCUGCAACUGUUUAUUAAAAACACAGCACUGUGCAAACACGAAAGUGGACGUAUACGGUGUGACGCCUGCCCGGUGCCGGAAGGUUAAUUGAUGGGGUCAGCGCAAGCGAAGCUCUUGAUCGAAGCCCCGGUAAACGGCGGCCGUAACUAUAACGGUCCUAAGGUAGCGAAAUUCCUUGUCGGGUAAGUUCCGACCUGCACGAAUGGCGUAAUGAUGGCCAGGCUGUCUCCACCCGAGACUCAGUGAAAUUGAACUCGCUGUGAAGAUGCAGUGUACCCGCGGCAAGACGGAAAGACCCCGUGAACCUUUACUAUAGCUUGACACUGAACAUUGAGCCUUGAUGUGUAGGAUAGGUGGGAGGCUUGGAAGUGUGGACGCCAGUCUGCAUGGAGCCGACCUUGAAAUACCACCCUUUAAUGUUUGAUGUUCUAACGUUGACCCGUAAUCCGGGUUGCGGACAGUGUCUGGUGGGUAGUUUGACUGGGGCGGUCUCCUCCUAAAGAGUAACGGAGGAGCACGAAGGUUGGCUAAUCCUGGUCGGACAUCAGGAGGUUAGUGCAAUGGCAUAAGCCAGCUUGACUGCGAGCGUGACGGCGCGAGCAGGUGCGAAAGCAGGUCAUAGUGAUCCGGUGGUUCUGAAUGGAAGGGCCAUCGCUCAACGGAUAAAAGGUACUCCGGGGAUAACAGGCUGAUACCGCCCAAGAGUUCAUAUCGACGGCGGUGUUUGGCACCUCGAUGUCGGCUCAUCACAUCCUGGGGCUGAAGUAGGUCCCAAGGGUAUGGCUGUUCGCCAUUUAAAGUGGUACGCGAGCUGGGUUUAGAACGUCGUGAGACAGUUCGGUCCCUAUCUGCCGUGGGCGCUGGAGAACUGAGGGGGGCUGCUCCUAGUACGAGAGGACCGGAGUGGACGCAUCACUGGUGUUCGGGUUGUCAUGCCAAUGGCACUGCCCGGUAGCUAAAUGCGGAAGAGAUAAGUGCUGAAAGCAUCUAAGCACGAAACUUGCCCCGAGAUGAGUUCUCCCUGACUCCUUGAGAGUCCUGAAGGAACGUUGAAGACGACGACGUUGAUAGGCCGGGUGUGUAAGCGCAGCGAUGCGUUGAGCUAACCGGUACUAAUGAACCGUGAG